GUUCCGGGGCUUCUUGUGUAAAUAAGAAAAAUAUAAUUUCAGAGUUUUAUAUUGCAAAAUGUACUUCUUGAGUAUCGGGACUAUGAUAUAGGUGUGCUGCUCGAUUUUGGUGUUUAUCGUUGCAAUUUCGUGAUUCUAAUUGUUUGAUGUGAAAAUGUUCUCAGGGCAGUCUUUUCUAAGAUUCAUAGUCCAGAGUCUUCUGAUUACUGAUUGAUCGAAUUACCUUUUGCUGAGUCAAAGUCUCGGUGUCUUUUUUAACGUUUUUUAGCGUUUAGAAUAUGUGAAGCAAAAUGCAGCUCUUUUUUUUUCUUUUUUACCUCAUUACGGAACAAAAAACGAUAAAUGACAUAAAGGCAUGUAGCAAGUCAAGAUACACCUGAAGCUUGAAACUUUUACAGCCAUAUGGUACAGCAAAUUUGUGCAUAAGGUUAUGGCCUAAGUCUCACUUAACCAUCUUUAUAAAAAUACAAACACUCUUGUUAAUUGUGAAUCUUGUAGAUUUGUAAAUCAUCAAACUAUCAACAUAUUUGCACACACC
rnacentral:lncRNA from 1 species